rnacentral:rRNA from 1 species
AGUGAACGCUGGCGGUAGGCCUAACACAUGCAAGUCGAACGGCAGCACAGAAGAGCUUGCUCUUACGGGUGGCGAGUGGCGGACGGGUGAGGAAUACAUCGGAAUCUACUUUUUCGUGGGGGAUAACGUAGGGAAACUUACGCUAAUACCGCAUACGACCUACGGGUGAAAGCAGGGGAUCUUCGGACCUUGCGCGAUUGAAUGAGCCGAUGUCGGAUUAGCUAGUUGGCGGGGUAAAGGCCCACCAAGGCGACGAUCCGUAGCUGGUCUGAGAGGAUGAUCAGCCACACUGGAACUGAGACACGGUCCAGACUCCUACGGGAGGCAGCAGUGGGGAAUAUUGGACAAUGGGCGCAAGCCUGAUCCAGCCAUACCGCGUGGGUGAAGAAGGCCUUCGGGUUGUAAAGCCCUUUUGUUGGGAAAGAAAAGCAGCAGGUUAAUACCCCGCUGUUCUGACGGUACCCAAAGAAUAAGCACCGGCUAACUUCGUG